CUACGGGAUGCACCAGUGAGGAAUAUUGCACAAUGGGGGGAACCCUGAUGCAGCAACGCCGCGUGGAGGAUGACGCAUUUCGGUGUGUAAACUCCUUUUAUAUGUCAAGAAAAUGACGGUAGCAUAUGAAUAAGCACCGGCUAACUCCGUGCCAGCAGCCGCGGUAAUACGGAGGGUGCAAGCGUUACUCGGAAUCACUGGGCGUAAAGGGCGCGUAGGCGGGCUUGUAAGUCAGGUGUGAAAUCCUACAGCUUAACUGUAGAACUGCACUUGAAACUUCUAAUCUAGAGUAUGGGAGGGGGAGAUGGAAUUAGUGGUGUAGGGGUAAAAUCCGUAGAUAUCACUAGGAAUACCUAAAGCGAAGGCGAUCUCCUGGAACAUUACUGACGCUAAGGCGUGAAAGCGUGGGGAGCAAACAGGAUUAGAUACCCCGGUAGUC
rnacentral:rRNA from 1 species